rnacentral:rRNA from 1 species
GACGAACGCUGGCGGCGUGCUUAACACAUGCAAGUCGAACGGAAAGGCCCUGCUUUUGUGGGGUGCUCGAGUGGCGAACGGGUGAGUAACACGUGAGUAACCUGCCCUUGACUUUGGGAUAACUUCAGGACACUGGGGCUAAUACCGGAUAGGAGCUCCUGCUGCAUGGUGGGGGUUGGAAAGUUUCGGCGGUUGGGGAUGGACUCGCGGCUUAUCAGCUUGUUGGUGGGGUAGUGGCUUACCAAGGCUUUGACGGGUAGCCGGCCUGAGAGGGUGACCGGCCACAUUGGGACUGAGAUACGGCCCAGACUCCUACGGGAGGCAGCAGUGGGGAAUAUUGCACAAUGGGCGGAAGCCUGAUGCAGCAACGCCGCGUGCGGGAUGACGGCCUUCGGGUUGUAAACCGCUUUCGCCUGUGACGAAGCGUGAGUGACGGUAAUGGGUAAAGAAGCACCGGCUAACUACGUGCCAGCAGCCGCGGUGAUACGUAGGGUGCGAGCGUUGUCCGGAUUUAUUGGGCGUAAAGGGCUCGUAGGUGGUUGAUCGCGUCGGAAGUGUAAUCUUGGGGCUUAACCCUGAGCGUGCUUUCGAUACGGGUUGACUUGAGGAAGGUAGGGGAGAAUGGAAUUCCUGGUGGAGCGGUGGAAUGCGCAGAUAUCAGGAGGAACACCAGUGGCGAAGGCGGUUCUCUGGGCCUUUCCUGACGCUGAGGAGCGAAAGCGUGGGGAGCGAACAGGCUUAGAUACCCUGGUAGUCCACGCUGUAAACGGUGGGUACUAGGUGUGGGGUCCAUUCCACGGGUUCCGUGCCGUAGCUAACGCUUUAAGUACCCCGCCUGGGGAGUACGGCCGCAAGGCUAAAACUCAAAGGAAUUGACGGGGCCCCGCACAAGCGGCGGAGCAUGCGGAUUAAUUCGAUGCAACGCGUAGAACCUUACCUGGGUUUGACAUGGAUCGGGAGUGCUCAGAGAUGGGUGUGCCUCUUUUGGGGUCGGUUCACAGGUGGUGCAUGGCUGUCGUCAGCUCGUGUCGUGAGAUGUUGGGUUAAGUCCCGCAACGAGCGCAACCCUUGUUCACUGUUGCCAGCACGUUAUGGUGGGGACUCAGUGGAGACCGCCGGGGUCAACUCGGAGGAAGGUGGGGAUGACGUCAAGUCAUCAUGCCCCUUAUGUCCAGGGCUUCACGCAUGCUACAAUGGCUGGUACAGAGAGUGGCGAGCCUGUGAGGGUGAGCGAAUCUCGGAAAGCCGGUCUCAGUUCGGAUUGGGGUCUGCAACUCGACCUCAUGAAGUCGGAGUCGCUAGUAAUCGCAGAUCAGCAACGCUGCGGUGAAUACGUUCCCGGGGCU